AAGCAGCCACCAUUUAAAGAGUGCGUAAUAGCUCACUGGUCGAGUGACUCUGCGCCGAAAAUGUACCGGGGCUAAACCUGUC
rnacentral:rRNA from 1 species